CACCGCGUCGUGAUCGACUCGUUGAUUGCCAAAAAAACAACACCAUGCUAACCUAAUCUUAGAGGCAACAAACCACUUAUUACCCUGACAGUAAUAAUGGUUACACUCAAUGUCAGUUAUUCUUGCAAAAUAUGCGCUGGCCCUAAUAUGUGACGUAAAACAUCCCACCGGUGGGAUGACAGAAGUGGACCGGUGCCGCCCCCGUCCUGGUGGUCAGACAGCGGCUCCUCUGCCUGUUUAUCCUCCUGCUUGGGGACAUCCAGUCGGUCUAUGAAGCUCUGCAACUCCUUCCUGAAGGCCUUCAUCUGGGCGUUGAUACGAUACAGCAGCUCAUGCUCUCUGAUCCUGUGGAGCAGAGGAAGAGCAUGUUUGGACUUAAUGACUUGAAAUAUCACUUGAAAUACUGUUAUUAAACAACUAAGGCCUGGCAAAGAGCUCCCCGUUGGUGACGUACACUCGGGCCUCAGCGAUGAUAGUGCUGGUGUCAGCGAUGAGCCUGUCGAUGGUCCGACCCAGCCUCUCCGCCUCAAUGCGGAUGUCUAUCAUCUGCUGCCGGUCCUUCAGG